CGGCGAGAGACUGAAAGAAAAGCAGCAAAGCCCUGGGUAAUCAAGGCCCUAAACGGAAAGUGUCAGGAUCUUGGGGGUCUCACUUUGUUGCCCAGGCUGGAAUGCAGUGGUAUGAACAUGGUUUACUGCAGCCUCGACCUCCUGCGCUCAAGCGAUCCUCCCACCUCAGCGCACAGAGUAGCAGGGACUACAGGCACAUGCCACCACGAGGUUUUGCCAUGUUGCCCAGACUGGUCUUGAACUCCCGGGCUCGAGCGGUCCUCUGGCCUCGGCCUCCCAAAGUGCUGGGAUUACAGGCGUGAGUCAGAAGUUCCCUAAUUCUGAUAUGUGUGGUCACUACGCAGUUCUGUGCUUUGCUUCCGAAGGACUGAUCGCCUUGAAGAACCAGAAUAUAAAGAGGUUACGUCGGGGGAACAUUACCAUUUAUUUAUUGGCUUACUCUGAAAGACAACUCCCAAGUUGUGGUGUUGCCACCAGUAUUAGAACACAGUGGUCUCCAAAAUCUUGCCAAUGAAUCCUCCAAGAUGGAGUCUCGCUUUGUCGCCCAGGCUGCAGUACAGUGGUGUGAUCUCAGCUCACUGCAAGCUCCACCUGCCGGGUUCACGCCAUUCUCCUGCCUCAGCGUCCCGACUAGCCGAGACUACAGGAGCCUGCCACCAUGCCCGGCUGAUUUCAUUUUUUUCUGAUCAGAUGUUCUGUCACUUAAGGGCACUUGAGAUGAUUAAAUAUGAAUGUGCAUAGUACAUGACCAGGUAUCCAAAAAGACUUCAAUAAACGUUGGUUCCUUCUAACUAAAAGGGCUGUAUAAACAUGCUAAGAUGUUAUAAUUUUAGGGGCAGUCUCCAGCAUUUCCUCCCGGGUAUUAUUACUUGCCACCUCCAAAGCAUUAGCUCUGAAGGCAUAACCUUUUCUUUUUUUUUUCUUCUGAAAGAGACAGGGUCUCUUUGCGUUGCUCAAGCUGGAGUGCAGUAGCUAUUCACAGGCAUGAUCAUCAAGCACCACAGCCCCAAACUCCUGGGCUCAAGUGAUCUUCCUACCUCAGCGUACCUGGUAGCUGGGACAACAGGGUCAUGCCACUGCACCUAGCUGGCAUAGAAAUUUUUUUUUUUGAGACACUGUCUCAUUCUGUUGCUCAGGCUGGAGUGCAGUGGCACAAUCACUGCUCACUGCAGCCUCAAUCUUUCGGGCUUAAGCAAUCCUCCCACCUCAGCCCCCUGAAUAGUGAGGACCACAGGCGUGCACCACUAUGCCCCGCUAAUUUUUGUAUUUUUUGUAGAGAUGGGUUUUGCCAUGUUGCCCAGCUGGUCUCAAACUCCUAGGCUCAAGCAGUCCACCCACCUCAGUCUCCUGAAGUGCUGGGAUUACAGGCACGAGCCACAGUGCUUGGCCAGCAUAGCCACUUUAAAAUGAAGUGUGGGUUAAGGAGUAAACUGGCAAGUUUGCCCCAAAUUCGAUUUCAUGAUGAUCUUGACAUCUACACAGUGGUGUCACUUAACAGGAGUAUGUUCUGAAAAACGCCUCGUUAGGCGACUUCAUCGUUGUGCAAAUAUCACAGGAUGUACUUACACAAGUACAUGGCAGAGCCUACUACACACCUAGGCUAUGUAGUAAAGCCUAUAUUCCUAGGCUACAAACACGUACAGCACGUUACCGUACUAACUACUGUAGGCAAUUUCAACAAAACUAAAUAUUUGCUAAACACAAAAGAUACAGUAAAAAUCACUGCUGUAUAUGCAGUUCUUGCUACACGUAAACUGUUUAGCUAAAUAACAUUAAUUCCAGAGAAGGCAAAGCUUACCAAAUACAAAUUCUACAUGGGAGAGUGAUAGAGAUAUAAGGCAGAAUAAAACAUGCAAAAUUGCGGUCAGGCACGGUGGCUCACACCUGUAAUCUCAGCACUUUGGGGGGCCAAGGUGGGCAGAUCACCUGAGGCCACGAGUUCAAGACCAGCCUGGCCAACAUGGUGAAACCCCAUCUCUACUAAAACUACAAAAAUUAGCCAUGCGUGGUAGAGGGCACCUGUAAUCCCAGCUACUCAGGAGGCUGAGGGAGGAGAAUCGUUUGAACCCGUGAGGUAGAGGGUGCAGUGAGCCGAGUUUGUGCCAUUGCACUCCAGCCUGGGCAACAAGAGUGAAACUCCGCCUCAAAAAAAAAAAAAAAAAAAAAAAGUAAACAUGCAAAAUUACCUUCAUCAGUUUAAAGUGAAAGUCUUUCUAAACCAUAAAGAAUGAUUGUUACUUUUAAAAUAUAUCUAAUGACAUGAACCUACAGUGAGACUCAUCAUUGGACAAAGUCACUUCUGUUCCUGUCUGUAAUAGGCCUAAUAUUUCUGAAUGACUCAGCUCCUAAAAAUUAGCCCAUCUCAAAAUCAGUGACCAAGAUUCUGAUCUUCUCAAAUUAUUUCACUCUUCAGUUGUAGUUUUUAUGCAUCUUUAAAUGGCCUUCCUAAUAUUUUCACCAUUUUUUAAGAAGUCUCUACUGAUACAUAUUUAAGCUACAAGGUAUAAGUAUAUUCUACCAACCGUGUCAAAAGAACUUACUGAUCUUUGCCAACCAAAGAUUAACAAAUGAAUGUACAAAUAUGUUGAAAUAAAAAUCUCUCGAUUC